rnacentral:rRNA from 1 species
AGAGUUUGAUCAUGGCUCAGGACGAACGCUGGCGGCGUGCUUAACACAUGCAAGUCGAACGGUAAGGCCCUUCGGGGUACACGAGUGGCGAACGGGUGAGUAACACGUGGGUAAUCUGCCCUGCACAUCGGGAUAAGCCUGGGAAACUGGGUCUAAUACCGAAUAGGACCACAGGACACAUGUCCUGUGGUGGAAAGCUUUUGCGGUGUGGGAUGGGCCCGCGGCCUAUCAGCUUGUUGGUGGGGUGAUGGCCUACCAAGGCGACGACGGGUAGCCGGCCUGAGAGGGUGUCCGGCCACACUGGGACUGAGAUACGGCCCAGACUCCUACGGGAGGCAGCAGUGGGGAAUAUUGCACAAUGGGCGAAAGCCUGAUGCAGCGACGCCGCGUGGGGGAUGACGGCCUUCGGGUUGUAAACCUCUUUCACCAUCGACGAAGGUCCGGGUUUUCUCGGGCUGACGGUAGGUGGAGAAGAAGCACCGGCCAACUACGUGCCAGCAGCCGCGGUAAUACGUAGGGUGCGAGCGUUGUCCGGAAUUACUGGGCGUAAAGAGCUCGUAGGUGGUUUGUCGCGUUGUUCGUGAAAUCUCACGGCUUAACUGUGAGCGUGCGGGCGAUACGGGCAGACUUGAGUACUGCAGGGGAGACUGGAAUUCCUGGUGUAGCGGUGGAAUGCGCAGAUAUCAGGAGGAACACCGGUGGCGAAGGCGGGUCUCUGGGCAGUAACUGACGCUGAGGAGCGAAAGCGUGGGGAGCGAACAGGAUUAGAUACCCUGGUAGUCCAA